AUUGAACGCUGGCGGCAGGCCUAACACAUGCAAGUCGAGCGAGCGGCGGACGGGUGAGUAAUGUAUGGGGACUGCCCGAUAGAGGGGGAUAACUACUGGAAACGGUGGCUAAUACCGCAUACUGCAGGAUAACCCAUAUGGGAUUAGCUAGUAGGUAAGGUAAUGGCUUACCUAGGCGACGCUCCCUAGAUGUUCUGAGAGGAUGAUCAGCCACACGGGGACUGGGACACGGCCCAGACUCCUACGGAGGAAGCAGUGGGGAAUAUUGCACAAUGGGCGCAAGCCUGAUGCAGCCAUGCCGCGUGUAUGAAGAAGGCCCUAGGGUUUUAAAGUACUUUCAGUUGGGAGGCGUUACCGACAGAAGAAGCACCGGCUAACUCCGUGCCAGCAGCCGCGGUAAUAC
rnacentral:rRNA from 1 species